UGGCGGCGUGCCUAACAAUGCAAGUCGAACGAGAAAAUGGAGCAAUCCAUGAGUAAAGUGGCGACCGGGUGAGUAACACGUGACUAACCUACCUCCGAGUGGGGAAUAACUCCGGGAAACCGGGGCUAAUACCGCAUAACAUCGCAAGAUCAAAGCAGCAAUGCGCUUGGAGAGGGGGUCGCGGCUGAUUAGCUAGUUGGCGGGGUAACGGCCCACCAAGGCGAAGAUCGGUAUCCGGCCUGAGAGGGCGCACGGACACACUGGAACUGAAACACGGUCCAGACUCCUACGGGAGGUAGCAGUGGGGAAUUUUGCGCAAUGGGGGAAACCCUGACGCAGCAACGCCGCGUGGAGGAUGAAGCCCUUUGGGGCGUAAACUCCUUUCGACUCGGACGAUAAUGACGGUACGAGUGGAAGAAGCACCGGCUAACUCUGUGCCAGCAGCCGCGGUAAUACAGAGGGUGCGAGCGUCGUUCGGAAUUAUUGGGCGUANAGGGCGCGUA
rnacentral:rRNA from 1 species